GAAGGGGAUGCCGUGGUAGGGCAAUUGUAGCUUCUCGUAAGGGACCGACCGGGCCGAACCCGACCACGCAUUGAACUAGAGAGCGGCUGGAGCAUCGCCCUGUCCUGGCUCAGUCGGCUCGCGUCCUGAGAAUCUCCUACCCGCUGCUAGAGCCGAAUCAGAGGGCCUACUGGCGCGAGAGAGUCGCUGGCGUCCGCGCGGGUUUCAGGCAUCUCCGCGCGCCCACCGUGGCCUCAGGGCGGACAGGAGGCUCGGCGCAGACAAGGACAAUCGCAAUGGAUUCCCGGGGGUCCCGUCGCUGCCGUGCGGGUCCAUUGGGGCCCCUAACGCUCCGGGCUCUGGCAGCUUUACCGGACAAAGGGCUCUGGGUGCGGGGGUGUCCUCGAGGCUGGCGCGCGGGUUUACUUCCUCCCCGGCUUCACGGGCACGCUUCCCUCUUGGCUGAUCCCGAAGCCCGCCCCUCCACCGUCACCGCACCAGUUGGCUCUGGCUGCAUGGGACCAACAGGACUAAUCCUAUCCCGCGGAUCUAAUCCGGAUCGGGACUCGGUCCCAGGGGAGGCCCCCACCGCCUCUCCUAUUGUUUGGGGACCCAGGUGAGCUCCUCGUUCCCACUAGACUCGGUUUCAUCGCCUACUCCUAGGUCCGCCUCCUGGGACUGGGAAUGGGGGAGGUUCUAAUCUGGCCCUAGGACGAGGGACCCACCCCCCCGCCCCACGGCUGGACAGCGGGCAACGGAAUCCCAAAAGCAGCUGUUGUCUCCAGAGCAUUCCAGCUGCGCUUGGAUUUCGUUCCCUGCUCUCCUGCCUGAGCAGCGUCCUGGUCCAGAUGGGGUGGUCGAGCCCCUGACCUCCACACAUCAUUGGGUCGUGUGGUCCCCGUCCCUCUCAGGUGCGCCCUCAGGCUGGAAGUGACGGGUGUGGACGUCGGAGAGCCUGGGCGGUGGCCAUCUCGAACCUGGGGAUAGAUAGCACUGGUGAGGGAGGGCGGACUCAAGGCCUCCGGAUAGGGCUGCAAUGGCGCUGAGUCCCACAGGGCCACCCCAGUCCGCAGCUCGCUAAAGAUAGCCCUUCACUUCCUGGGGAAAAAACCACCCCAACCGUCUUCGUGUUCAGAGAGUAGCUGAAGUCCCCAGCUGGCCUCCAGCCCCAACCCUGUAAACAACUGCCCCCGUGGAGCGCGCCUGCGGCAUGGAAAGCGCUUUGGAAUGACACGAUCACUCCCGUUGAGUGGGCACCCAAGAAGCCAUCGGGAAUGUCGUGUCCGCCCAGUGCUCUUUCGGCGCCUCCCAGGAGGGCCUUGAAGCCCUGUCCAAAGAGGGGCCUUGCCAAGCUUUCCCUGGGUCCCCUCCUUUCUGAGCUCUGAGCGCUCUCACUGCUCCAGGGCAGAGAGCACGGUUUUCCCAGAGCUCCGUGCUGCGCCACGGAAUAGGGGAUUUAAGUUAUGUUGAAGUGAAAACAUUUGGGAGCCGUCGUGGCACUGGGAAGAGCUUUCUCUUUGGAAGAGGAGUAGGAUGCUCCAGUUGAACUGUCCUUUAGCUGGCUCUUCUCAUGGUCACGUGGUUUAGUUGGCUCACAAUGGCUGGUUGCCUAAACCAGGAAGCGGGAGGAUCCCUGUUAAAGUACACCACGCAGGUUAAAAGAAAGCUUUCAAAGCUGGAAAUUCUGAAAACCAUCACAACGGUACUAAUUUAUCAAAAAUCAAGCGAAGAAAACCUCCAAUUCUAUCGGGAGGGCGUUUAUUGGGAAUAAAGACGACCCAUAUUUCAAAAAAGGAAAUGCUUGCAAAUAACCUGAAACCGCAGAACACAAAUUUUUUAAAUGAGAUUUUUCUUUAGGUCGUGAAGGUGGCGUUAAUGUUAGCUGCCCUAUUCCAGAGACAAUUCGUAAGGAACUUUUAACGCUGUGUUCAUGUAUAUGAUGGAGGAAAUUAAACGUUAUCCCAAAUACAGAAAUGUAAGAUUUCGAUGAGAGCAGGAGCCCCCACCAGGUCGCGAGGAUCCUUGCCCUGGUUGGUAACACGGGUGACAGCAAAAGAACCCUACGCCCGGAAGGACCCCGAAAUUUCGGACCUGGGACCAAACGUGGCAGGUGGGCCACGCUACGGCCAUCGGUCAAAAGCUGCCGCCACGGUUCCCUCUGGUGCACCUGCCCACUCAGGGACCGGAUUCCCGCCCCCGCCACUGGGCCUUCCCGGAAGUUCGGCCUCCCGACAUUUUACUUCCGGGUCCACUCGCUCCUUCCGGUCACCAUGGCGACGGGGCGCCUUGGGAUCGAGGAGACUUUGGGUGCCCUCAACGCGGCCCUGGGACCUGGCGGCCCUGUUUGGUUCAAGGAGACGCGCGCCCGCCACCUACGUGCCCGAGACUUCUUGGCGCCGCAGCGCGCGCUACAGGCGCGCUUCCGGGACGGAGAGGUGCCCGAGUGUGUGUUCCAUGCGGUGGCCGGCCUGCAGGGUCCAGGCGUGGCCCCGGUUUUGCGCUGCGCGCGGACAUCCGCGGGCCUGGAGCUCCAGCUGCAGCGGUCCGCUGUCUUUGAGCGCGUGCUCGGCGCGGUGGCGGACUAUGCCGCGCCCGCCGCGCCCGCUGCGCCGGGCUCGCGCGUCCUCCUGCACUGCCCAGCGCUGCGCGCCGCUCCUUCCGCACUCCGUCUGAGCCAGCUGCGCGCCGUGCUCGUGGCCGAUCACUUGGCGCGAGCUCUGCACGCCCACGGGGUAAGUGUGCGGCUGGUGCCUGCCGUGCGGGACCGGCACAUGUCGACCUUCCUGCAGCAGCUGCGGGUGGACUGGCCCGUUGCCUCGGAGCGAGCCGCGACGGAAGCCCUGAGGAGCCGCACACUGGCGGAGCUUAACCCUGCGGGUGACAGGGAAGCCCUGCCCCCUGGCGUCCUGGGCAACGUGUACCUGAAGGAGCUGGUGGAAGAAAGGGGACGCACAGCUGGCUAUGACCCCAACCUGGAAAACUGUCUGGUGACUGAGGACUUGCUCUCCGUGCUGGCAGAGCUGCAAGCGGCUGUGCUGCACUGGCCUGAGGUCGGCUCCCUAGACCUGGCUGCGGGCGGAGCCCCUGAUGCAGACGGCUGCGUCGUAGUGCACGUGGUGAGCUGUGAGGAAGAGUUUCAGCAACAGAAGUUGGACCUGCUUUGGCGGAAGUUGGAUGACCAGGCUCCUCUCAGCCAAAAGCACCUGGUCUGUGGCCCAGUGAAAGUAGCUGGUGUGCCUGGCACCCUGACUGCCCCCGAAUACUACAAGUACCGGCACGCCCAGGUGUGCAAUGCCUCAGCACUGAAGCACAGCAGAGACCUGGCACAAGACCCAGCCUGGACAGAGACCUUCAGGGUUCUCUCCGUGGCCACCAUCAAGUUUGAGAUGCUAAGCACAGCCCCACAGAGUCAGCUCCUCCUGACCCUUGCUGACAGCAGCAUUUCCACAAAGGGCACCAAGAGUGGCAUUUUUGUCAUGUAUAAUUGUGCCCGUCUCGCCACACUCUUUGAGGGUUACAAGCACAGCAUGGAGCAAGGUCUAUACCCUACUUUUCCACCUGUGAGCAGUCUGGAUUUCUCACUGCUCCAUGAUGAGACCUGCUGAGCCAGACAGCAGCCCUGGACCACAGAGCCCCAGGGCUCCACGUCACUGCACGCACAGAGACGGUGUGCAAGCUCCUGGUACAGCUCAGCAUGGACUUCAGCUCAUACUACAACCGCGUACACAUCCUAGGGGAGCCUCGAC